rnacentral:rRNA from 1 species
AACGAACGCUGGCGGCAGGCUUAACACAUGCAAGUCGAACGCCCCGCAAGGGGAGUGGCAGACGGGUGAGUAACGCGUGGGAACAUACCCUUUUCUACGGAAUAGCUCUGGGAAACUGGAAUUAAUACCGUAUACGCCCUGCGGGGGAAAGAUUUAUCGGGGAAGGAUUGGCCCGCGUUGGAUUAGCUAGUUGGUGGGGUAAAGGCCUACCAAGGCGACGAUCCAUAGCUGGUCUGAGAGGAUGAUCAGCCACAUUGGGACUGAGACACGGCCCAAACUCCUACGGGAGGCAGCAGUGGGGAAUAUUGGACAAUGGGCGCAAGCCUGAUCCAGCCAUGCCGCGUGAGUGAUGAAGGCCUUAGGGUUGUAAAGCUCUUUCACCGAUGAAGAUAAUGACGGUAGUCGGAGAAGAAGCCCCGGCUAACUUCGUG